UACAGGGAAUAACUAUUUAAAGCUUAAAAAUUAAAAUUAUUUUAAUUUGUGAAGAAACAAUUAUUAAAAUUAAGGACAAGAAGACCCUAAGAAUUUUAAAAUAAUUAAUUUCUUAUAAGAAAUUAAUUAUUUUUAGUUGGGGCAACUAGAAAAUAUUAUAAACUUUUUAUAUAAUAAAAUGACCCAUUAUUAAUGAUCAUUUGAGAAAAAUACUCUAGGGAUAACAGCGUAAUAAUUUUUGAUAGAACCUAUAGACAAAAUAGUUUGCGACCUCGAUGUUGGAUUAGGAUACUUUUUUAAUGAAGAUGUUAAAAAAAGAAGUUUGUUCAACUUUUAAAGUCCUACUUGAUCU
rnacentral:rRNA from 1 species